CAAGUCUAAAUUUUUUAACUAUCUUUUAUAUAUAUAUAUAGCAAAACCGUUGCCAGACAAUCCCAUAUAUAUGAAAAAGAAACUGGUUACAUAGGUUCAGAUUAACUACAAACAAUGAGAUUGCUUUAUUAUGGGACUCACAAGGAGUCAAAUAGCUCCAUGUUGAAGCUUUCCUAGAGUUUCUAGCAUCGAGGAACAACACAUCCAAUAAUACAACACAAAUUCACCAUCAUGCUUUUUCUUCUUUUUCAAAUAGUCAUGUUUGCUCAAUUUUUCUUUUCCCCCUAAAUUUUGCAAAGGAACAUAAACUCCUAA
rnacentral:lncRNA from 1 species